UACGGAGGAUGCGAGCGUUAUCCGGAUUUAUUGGGUUUAAAGGGUGCGCAGGCGGCACGGCAAGCCGGCGGUCAAAUCGCGGGGCUCAACCCCGCCCAGCCGUCGGAACUGCCGGGCUGGAGUGGGCGAGAAGUGCGCGGAAUGCGUGGUGUAGCGGUGAAAUGCAUAGAUAUCACGCAGAACUCCGAUUGCGAAGGCAGCGCACCGGCGCCCUACUGACGUUCAGGCACGAAAGCGUGGGUAUCGAACAGG
rnacentral:rRNA from 1 species